rnacentral:misc_RNA from 1 species
UUUCCGUAGGUGAACCUGCGGAAGGAUCAUUAAUGAGUUGUCAUGGGGUUCGAUGCUGGCAGCCAGUUUUUGGAUGCAUGUGCUUGCCCUAACAAUCAUCUUCUUCCAAACACCUGUGCACAUUUUUGAGGGAGUCUUGAGUUGGUUGCCGCUCUUGGGUGAUUUUCUCACAUUCCCUUAAAUCAUUAUACGCUAUUAACAAUGUUGAAUGUGCUCUGUGCCUCAAGGCCAUUAAUAUAAUACAACUUUUAACAACGGAUCUCUUGGCUCUC